UACGGAGGGUGCAAGCGUUGUCCGGAUUUACUGGGCUUAAAGGGCGCGCAGGUGGUCAGGUAAGUCAGUGGUGAAAUCUCCGGGCUUAACUCGGAAACUGCCAUUGAUACUAUCUGUCUUGAAUACCGUGGAGGUCAGCGGAAUAUGUCAUGUAGCGGUGAAAUGCUUAGAUAUGACAUAGAACACCAAUUGCGAAGGCAGCUGGCUACACGAAUAUUGACACUGAUGCACGAAAGCGUGGGGAUCAAACAGG
rnacentral:rRNA from 1 species